rnacentral:lncRNA from 1 species
AGGUAAAUUAUGCAAGUGGCCAAGUGGAUUAUCCAACAUGUGAGGAUUAUCCUUAAUAUACUUAGUGAGCAAGUUUGAGGUUAUUCAUUCCCUCAUUUCUCACCAUAGAACCGUCCCCUCCCUCUCUCUCUUCUCUCCCAAUUUUCUUCAUCAUCCUCCAUUGAUGAUCAUAUACAAAGCUUCAUAGAUCAUUUCUAUACCAUAAGCUUCCAUUAAAACAAGCUCUAAACACCUAUACACUUCAAAUCAAGAGCAACUAUGGAAGCUUUUAAAGCUUGAAGUCAAGAGGAGAUUUUCAUUUUCUACUAAAAAAUCAUUGAGUAAGUGUUAGAUUUAUCUAAAUCUAAUCAUAUUUGAGAUAUAUAAGCAUGAAUAUGGAUGAAAAUAGCAUGAAAACAACUUUAAUUCAAGUUUGUAAUUUCGAAAAUUAGGGUUAGAAGCCUUCUAAAUUUGUUUUUUCUAUUCUUCUUAUUCUUAUUUUGAGAAUAUAUUCAUGCUAUUGAGAUCCUAUUUAGUCCAUUUCUACAUGCAAAGGAUGGAUUUAAAUCGAUAUGUGAAAUUUUUUAGAUGGGUUAGUUUACAUGAUUUUGAGAAGUUUGAAGUUCAUGGAUGGAUUGUUGAUUUGGUUAUGAAUAUGAGCUAUUGAGAUUAUUGAGAUGAUAUUUGAUGGAUUAGAAUGAUGAUUAAAGGUGUUUGAUGAAUAUUGAAGUGAGUUAGUUUGAUGAAAAAUAGGGUAUAGUUGGCUAUAUGCUUAAAGUUGGCAAGUUGAUGAGUUAUUUUGAAAACCUU